CAUCAUGGAGAAGUUCAACACAUCCAGCCUACGACCAGCACCUGUGGGAGGUGGAUAUUCAAGGCAGCAGAGCCUACAGCCGGGGCAUGGAGAAGGCAGGGCUCCUCGCCAAGGCCGAGAUGGAUGGUGGUUGAGGAGUGGGCCCAGGGCACCUUCAAACUCAACCCCAAUGAUGAGGACAUCCACACAGCCAACAAGUGCCACCUGAAGGAUCAUUGGUGAAACCGCAGGGAAGGCGCACAUGGGAUGGAGCUGGAAUGACCAGGUGCAGGUGGUCACGGACCUCAGGUUGUGGAUGUGGCAGACCUGCUUCACGCUCUCGGGCCUCCUCUGGGAGCUCAUCAGGACUAUGGGGGAUUGGGCAGAGCCACCUUUCUGCCCGGCACUCAGAUGCCAUUCCACUAGGCCCACGAGGCCUCCAAGGAAAGCCAUGUUCAUGGCCGAGACCAAGGGGGUUGCCCUCAACCAGCUGUCACUACGGGAGCUGCAGACCAAGCCCCCUGUUCUCAGGCGACAUGAGCCGCAUGUGGGAAUACGGGCACAGCGUGGAGCAGUACAGUGCCCUGGAUGGCACUGAGCACUCCAGCGUCGACUGGCAGAUCUGCCAGGUGCGGGCGCUACUACAGGCACAGCAGGC
rnacentral:lncRNA from 1 species